UACGAAGGGGGCUAGCGUUGUUCGGAUUUACUGGGCGUAAUGCGCGUGUAGGCGGACUUGUAAGUUGGGGGUGAAAUCCCGAGGCUCAACCUCGGAACUGCCUCCAAAACUACAAGUCUGGAGCAAGAUAGAGGCAAGUGGAAUUGCGAGUGUAGAGGUGAAAUUCGUAGAUAUUCGCAGGAACACCAGUGGCGAAGGCGACUUGCUGGAUCUUUGCUGACGCUGAGACGCGAAAGCGUGGGGAGCAAACAGG
rnacentral:rRNA from 1 species